UGUUUUUUUACCAUUAUUUCAACUUGUUCAGUCUGCAUGGUGGGAUAUUUCCAACUCAUCAAUGUGUGAGACUACCUGAGACCAGCAACGCACCGGGAUGGCCAUGGAGCAACUGGGAAAUAAUUACAAAACAUCCCUGGAAAAGAGGACGAGGAAGUGAAAUCAGAGGGCUCCGCCACCCUUCGGGAAAGGGAAUAAUACGUACAAAUCCCUGAGCAGAUGCAAAUGUCAUCCCCCAGACCACAGCAGAAGUGGCACCUAUGUCGUGUGCCAGACUGUGCUCGAGAGGAGGUGUUCAGCCGCUAUGUGCGAUCACUGAGCAGCUG
rnacentral:lncRNA from 1 species